GGAUAGCUCAGUCAGUAAAGCAUGAGACUCUUAAUCUCAGGAUUGUGAGUUCAAGCCCCAGGCUGGGCA